rnacentral:rRNA from 2 species
UUAAUUGAAGAGUUUGAUCAUGGCUCAGAUUGAACGCUGGCGGCAGGCCUAACACAUGCAAGUCGAGCGGCAGCACAGAGGAACUUGUUCCUUGGGUGGCGAGCGGCGGACGGGUGAGUAAUGCCUGGGAAAUUGCCCGGUAGAGGGGGGAUAACCAUUGGAAACGAUGGCUAAUACCGCAUAACCUCGCAAGAGCAAAGCAGGGGACCUUCGGGCCUUGCGCUACCGGAUAUGCCCAGGUGGGAUUAGCUAGU